rnacentral:misc_RNA from 1 species
UYUUCAAUUUUCGGCCCAAGAGCAAGUUAGCCUUGGCCGUGUGUCGGUUUCCUGUGUUGURUACCUACUAUAAUGGAAUUCGAAUGUGCCAASWUUUUGUUAUUCGCCUUGUGCUGUCCCAUCGGUUGUCCCUUUGGUGUGCGGUUUCGGGUGAACCUCRAAGUGAUCUUCAUGUUCUUCGUCACCGAMGAAAUGUGUUGUUGGCGCGGCCCAUGAAGAUUGCUUGAGCUCUCGGAUGCGGAAUAUGCGGAGGGUAGUAGGCCUACGGCCUCUCUUUGCCCGAAUUAAGCGUUUAUUCGCUCAUUACCGAACGACGGCCGGCGGUGCCUUGAUGUGCUUGGAGCCCUCAGGUUUUGGCAUCAUC